rnacentral:rRNA from 1 species
GAUGAACGCUGGCGGCGUGCCUAAUACAUGCAAGUCGAGCGAACAGACGAGGAGCUUGCUCCUCUGACGUUAGCGGCGGACGGGUGAGUAACACGUGGAUAACCUACCUAUAAGACUGGGAUAACUUCGGGAAACCGGAGCUAAUACCGGAUAAUAUAUUGAACCGCAUGGUUCAAUAGUGAAAGACGGUUUUGCUGUCACUUAUAGAUGGAUCCGCGCCGCAUUAGCUAGUUGGUAAGGUAACGGCUUACCAAGGCAACGAUGCGUAGCCGACCUGAGAGGGUGAUCGGCCAAACUGGAACUGAGACACGGUCCAGACUCCUACGGGAGGCAGCAGUAGGGAAUCUUCCGCAAUGGGCGAAAGCCUGACGGAGCAACGCCGCGUGAGUGAUGAAGGUCUUCGGAUCGUAAAACUCUGUUAUUAGGGAAGAACAAAUGUGUAAGUAACUAUGCACGUCUUGACGGUACCUAAUCAGAAAGCCACGGCUAACUACGU